GUUUCUUCUCCUGGUCAGAAGCAUCUCGACGGAGACGCUCCAGGUAUCCGCCAUGGCUACUUCUCCUGGAAACUGAACACGUGUGACUCUGCUAGCUGCCACCAGGUUCCAGAUGCUAACAUGAUGCCAACUGGACUUCCCUGGACAGACGGCCCCACCAUGUGUCCUUGAGCUCUGAUUCCCCAGAACCCUGCCCCACUAGGGCAGAGGCAGGCUGGGAGUAUGGAUCAACCUGUCAAUGCCCAUGUUCAGUGGAGAAGCAAUUACAGAAGCCAGACCUUCCGCCUUCUGCAUCCCACAAUGACCUUGGGUCCAUACUCCCAGAGGUUUAAAGAAUAGGAAAGCUGUCAGGGGAGGGGAUGGGAUAUGGAUUUCUGGUGGUGGGAAUUAUGUGUAUUUUUACCCCUCUUAUCCUAUAGUUUUGUCAAUAUUUCCUUUUUAUAAAUAAAAAAUAAAAUAAAGAAAAAAGAAAA